ACACAUGGAGCCGCCAGAGUGUCUCCAGACUACGCGAGCAAGAAACCAUGCCGCUGCAACUCUACAUAUGCAACAAAGUGAGGAAACAAUACUGUUCACUGAAGCAUAUCAAUUAUAAAAAUAAAAAAGCGACACGAAACAAUUGUACCAACAACAACAACAAUUUAAUCAAACAAUGCCUGGGGUACACCUCAUUUUCAAAAAAUUCAGAAUAACAUAUUUGUACUGUCUUCUAAAAAAGACUUUGACUGAAAAUAUUUUGAAUGCUUUUGCCAAUAAAAAGGCUAGAAAAGUCUUUUUCUGAAAGAGUAUAAUGUAAUUGCCUAUUUUGCCUUUCUUAAUAAUAACAACAUCGACUGUGCCUUAAAUUUGUUUUAUAGCAAGUAUUAAAUGUCUUUUUUUUGGUUUGUAUAUAUGUUUUUUUAUGAAAUAUAAAACCCAUCAAUUUUA